GAUCUGCGUGAGGCCCGGGUUGGACACGGCAGGGAGGUCGGAGAUGUCCAGCCUGCGGAGGUUCCUGAGAGGAGGCAGCAAGGGAUUCACCGUGAUGACUCCUGUGUGUGGACCCCACACUCGCUCCAGGCUGCUUGUGGAGGCAGGGCUACAGGGACCGCCCGCUCCCCGCUCUCCGGAUCUGUGUCAGGUGCUUCCCCCCCUGCCCCCCAGCUUGGGGCCCAGCCUGAGCUGAGGUCUCACUGGAGGUGGUGGAGGCAGGCAAGGCCUCGUUCAGAGAUUCGGGGACAACCGGCCAGCGAGAGUUCCUGCAAUGAGUUGGCCAGCGAGUGGAGGCGGCUGAGACACCAGUCAUCCACGUGGGGGCAGUGCCGCAGCCACAGGGAUUGGAGCUCCUUCAGGGCCACUGCAAAGCAGGGGAGGCCACUGAGAUCCUUUCUGGAGCCCUGCACGGAAGGGCAAACGCACAAGCCUGCCCAUCUCCGGCCCACUCACGGAGGUUGUCCAGGCCGUGGUAGUUGAUGGCACUCCCGCUGGCAUCGACUGCCUCUACAGGCACCUCUGGGAACUUCAGGAAGUCAAGAGAGAAGCGGCCGCGGGUGUUUGGCCAGAUCCAUUCCUUGCCCUGAAACCUGGAAGGAGAUGGGCAGUGACCAGGGCACCCUGCCUCCCCAGGCCUCCAGCUUCUGGAGGAUGCUCCCAGCCCCAUGUGAGGACCUGGUCACACGGGGUCUGGUGCACUCGCUGCACAGCAGGCCCUGCACUAAAGGCCUUCCAUGUCGGGUCUCCCUGGGCCCCGGAUAUUCCCAUGAGAGAUGCAAUGUUUGGCCUCCCCCUCCCCCACUUUUCUAAGUAGGCACUGCGUGUAGUAUGGAGCCUGACACGUGGCCUGAAUUCACAACCCUGAGGUUAAGAGUUGAACGCUCAAUGGACUGAGCCACCCAGCCACCCCCAUUUGGCCAUUUUUACUGUGGGUCAGAAAAACUCGGUUAACAUCAGAGAAAAAGGCGAGAAUGCCAGAAUCUUCACUGACUGCCAGAAGUUGAGACCCACUCGGAUGUGUGCACCGUUUCUGAGGAACAUGCCGGAGGAAGGUGCUCAGACCAGGAGAACAUUUUAACUGGAGCCAAGCGAGGGGUAGGUGGGUGCAUGAGCUACAUUUUCCAGAGAAGAGGAAAAAGGGGAGGAAAAAACAGAGGAGGAGGGAGGGAAGGAGGAGAAAGGAAGGAAAAGGAACAGCGAUGUUUACUGAACUCCUAGGCUGUAUCGGGUCUGUGCCACACACUUCAUGGCAGUAAGUCUCUUGAGUCUUUCCAGCAAACCUUGCACAUACAACCACCGCCCUGUUUUACAAGUGACAGAGCAAGAGCUCAGGAACAAGGUCUGAGCGGAGCCAGCAGGGACAGAGCCCAGGGUUCAUGAAAAGUCCCAAGGGCCUCUGGCUCAGUGCUCCACAGCCUCCCCCACCCCACGCUGACGCUUUAGCCCUCAUACUUGACUGCGCCGCCCUGCUUCAGGAUGAAAUAGGCACCCGCGGCGUGGGGACCAAAGCGUUCCUUGAUGUGGGUGAAGGGCCUGUAGAGAGAACAGUGGCUGAGGUUGAGCACUGCACCCCGGUGUCAUGCUGUCAUGCCCCCACCCCCCGCGAGGGUCAGAGUUCACAGCACAAGGAGCGAGCCAGACAGACUGACCCACUGAGACAGACUGUGGAUAUUUACUGAGUGUCCGUUAAGGACCCGCAUCAAGGCAGACAGCGGUCCACGCUCUGUGUGGUUAACGUUACGAAAGGAAUCGGGUGGCCCACCCGGAAGUUAAGAGCAAACUGCAGCAGCAGCUCCUUGCUGGAAGUAACAGAGGGACUGACUGGGGAGUGGCUUGGGGCAAGUGUGGGGAUGGAGAAGGCUACUUCAGUUUGGGUAUUAAGAAAUACCUUCUUGGGGUGCCUGGGUGGCUCAGUCAAGCACCUGCCUUAGGCUCAGGUCAUGACUCUGGGAUCGAGCCUCUGCCUGCCCCUCUGCCUACUUGUGCUCUUUCUGUUGAAUAAAUAAAACAUUUAAAAAAAAAAAUAGUAGCUUCUUGCAGGAGGUGACAUCUGCGCAGAGCUUUGGUGGGAAGAAAUUCAAAGCUCACGGCAGGAGCCUGCCAGGCCAAGGGAAGAGCUGGUGGAUACACUCAGAGGCUCAACUUAGAACGGCAGGACAAACAGCACUGAGGAUGCCAUGCUGGUGGGGGUAAGGGGAAUCCCUGGUAGGCAUCUCAAAGCUCAGCUUUUAGGCUUUAGAGUCUGGCUUUUAUUCUAGCAACCAAAUGGCUGCAAUGGGAAACCAUUUGAGGGUUUUAAGCAAAGUGGUGUUUUUCUAUUUUAGUGGUUUAAA